rnacentral:rRNA from 1 species
GACCUGGCCGGAUGGUCUGCUUAACGGCAUGUACUGUCUGGCUGGGCCUUACCUCUUGGUGAGCCGGCGUGCCCUUUAUUGGUGUGCGUCGGGGAACCAGGACUUUUACCUUGAGAAAAUUAGAGUGCUCAAAGCAGGCCUACGCUUGAAUACAUUAGCAUGGAAUAAUAAAAUAGGACGUGCGGUUCUAUUUUGUUGGUUUCUAGAGUCGCCGUA